rnacentral:rRNA from 1 species
UGCUGAUUUGCUGACGAGUGGCGGACGGGUGAGUAAUGUCUGGGAAACUGCCUGAUGGAGGGGGAUAACUACUGGAAACGGUAGCUAAUACCGCAUAACGUCGCAAGACCAAAGAGGGGGACCUUCGGGCCUCUUGCCAUCGGAUGUGCCCAGAUGGGAUUAGCUAGUAGGUGGGGUAACGGCUCACCUAGGCGACGAUCCCUAGCUGGUCUGAGAGGAUGACCAGCCACACUGGAACUGAGACACGGUCCAGACUCCUACGGGAGGCAGCAGUGGGGAAUAUUGCACAAUGGGCGCAAGCCUGAUGCAGCCAUGCCGCGUGUAUGAAGAAGGCCUUCGGGUUGUAAAGUACUUUCAGCGGGGAGGAAGGGAGUAAAGUUAAUACCUUUGCUCAUUGACGUUACCCGCAGAAGAAGCACCGGCUAACUCCGUGCCAGCAGCCGCGGUAAUACGGAGGGUGCAAGCGUUAAUCGGAAUUACUGGGCGUAAAGCGCACGCAGGCGGUUUGUUAAGUCAGAUGUGAAAUCCCCGGGCUCAACCUGGGAACUGCAUCUGAUACUGGCAAGCUUGAGUCUCGUAGAGGGGGGUAGAAUUCCAGGUGUAGCGGUGAAAUGCGUAGAGAUCUGGAGGAAUACCGGUGGCGAAGGCGGCCCCCUGGACGAAGACUGACGCUCAGGUGCGAAAGCGUGGGGAGCAAACA